CUGACUGCUAAAUGUUUGUUACAAAAUGUGUUGUAGAGCAUUUGAACAUAAGCGAAACGGCUAAUGCUAGCCAGCUUUAAUGUACAGUUAAUAGCAUGAAGCAGGCUAAUUGAAAAAUGUGAAAUGUGUCUGGAAACAAAUUGGUAAUUUUUUAUGUAAUCAUCUUAUGAUAUCUGAAGUGUUGUUAUUUUUUAGAGGAAGAAUAAAUCCUGAGGGUGAAUAUACGUCAAGUCAUUGUGGAUUUUUUCCUUAUUCUGUACCACAGGUUAGUACAAAGUAGAGAUAAUUUAUAUUUUAACGGCUGUAAUGAGUUUAGUAAGUUGCUAGAGUAAACAGCUGACUGCUAAAUGUUUGUUACAAAAUGUGUUGUAGAGCAUUUGAACAUAAGCGAAACGGCUAAUGCUAGCAAGCCUUAAUGUACAGUUAAUAGCAUGAAGCAUGCUAAUUGAAAAAUGUGAAAUGUGUCUGGAAACAAAUUGAUAAUUUUUGAUGUAAUCAUCUUAUGAUAUCUGAAGUGUUGUUAUUUUUGAGAGGAAGAAUAAAUCCUGAGUGUGAAUAUACGUCAAGUCAUUGUGGAUUGUCUUCCUUAUUCUGUACCACAGAGGAAGAAUAAAUCCUGAGUGUGAAUAUACGUCAAGUCAUUGUGGAUUGUCUUCCUUAUUCUGUACCACAGGUUUUUCAAGGCAUACAACCCUUCCAGGUGGUGGAGGGGCAACAACAGCUGAGUUUUAGCAUAUAUCCUCAGCCUGGGGAGGAACAUGGUCCAAGGAGAAGCAUCCUGGUGAGCAUUUAGAAUCCACUCAUUAAAGCCUUUGCAUUCAUCUGGCGGGCGGACAUGUUGGCAGCCAAUCCAAAGAGCUCCCGGCAGCAAGUUAUUCCGCUGGAUCUUUUCAAGGCCUGCGAUCGGCCCCCGUGAGUGGAAUUAGAGUGGCGAGAGAGCGGAAUAAAGACACAAGGAAUCGAUGGAGCAACGUAUAUUCCGUUGUCUCCGGUCUAGCGCACUGGAGCGCCAGGAUGUCCGCUUCCAGGUGAGCUUCCCGGCCAGGAAAACAACAGGAAUGACAACAGCCAAGCCAGAUGAUGACAAAGAAGGCUUACCAUCAAUGUGCAAUAAACACUGAAAAUUCUUUGGAAUUAUGUAAAUUUGGAAGCAGCGUCUUAUAGUUACAGUAUCAAUUGAGCGGAAAAUCCAUUUUACAACAAUAAACCUUUAAUCCCACGCAGAAUAACAAAACACAAUUUGGGUGUGUGGGAUGCUUUAAAAUAGCCGUGCCUGUUAAGAGGCUGUGAUUUUAAUAGCGGUGUAAAAACUGUCGGAUAAAUGACAGUUCUUUCACUUUUUUUUUCUAGACUCUCCUUUCCCAGACAGGAACAUUACUUCUCCUCUUAACGAUGCACACGUUUGACUUUUCCUCCUUUAAUUGCAUGACCCACCUGGCCCAAAGUUCCCCCCUUAUUAAACUAAUGGCCAUGGGUGCCAUUAAAAUGACACCAAACGCCACCAUCGGUUGUCAUUACGGCUGGCAGAAAAUGUGAAAAGUAGAAAAGGUUAUGGUUGUGUCUGCCACUGAUCGGUUGCAUAAAUCUUAAGCAUAAGAUGUCUCAACAGGACCGAUUAUGCAAGAAAAGUUUGCUUAUAAGC